CACCACCAAAAAUAUAUGACUGUUUAAAUUAGCGGCAACAGUUUAAUUAAACGCCCAAUUUUCCCGUUUUAAAUGUAUACUUUAACAGCACGGGUCAUUAACUAUGGUCACGUGGAGCUGAAACAUUUCGUGGUCACACUCAUACUCAGUGCAGGGAAAAUAUCAGAUAAAGCUGGCGACACACGAUUAUUUUUGGGUCGAUUAUUAAUGUAAUUUGGCUGUGGCCACUGAUAAAUACGUAUUUGAUAUUUUGAUUGGUGCCUACAAUCCGAUCCUCCGCUGCCAUAGAAACAGCGUACAGACGAGACAUAAACUGCGAGCUUUCGUCAUGCUGGUUAAAGUUCAGUGUAAAGGUGUGAAGAAAUGGGUAAAAUUGCUUGACGAUUUUACAUUCCAGGAUUUUCUUACUGAAGUUAAAAACAAAUUUGGAUUUACAAGAACUACAUCUCUUCAAGUCUUUGACGACACUGACACCAAUGUGGAGGAGGAUGUCUUCCAAGAAUUGAUUCAAGCCAGUCCAGAUAUGUUUUACUAUAAAUCAGGACUUUGCUCUUCUGUUCAAUGCUGAAACAUCCAACAAGUUGCUUGAGAGGUGGGAGACAGCAUUCAAGCACAAGAUCAUCAAUGAAGCCAGGUCUCUUACUUCGACAGCAGAAAUUCAAUGUCUUCUCAAUGCAGCAGUGGGAGAAGGAUCUGAAAAUGAUUGGGACAGUGACAUGUCAUCCAUCCUGCUACUAUUGCAUCUCUUGCCACCUUCUUCGGGAAGGAAGAAGACCAAGAUCAGUGCAACAGAGGCUGUUGAUAGACUUGUGCAUUUCCACAAGAGCUGGGAUUUCCUUGUUAAAUUCAUCAUUUGUUCUGAUAAAGAACUCCUGCACCAGUAUUGAAGACCAUCACAGUGGCAGGCAGAGCCACCAGCCAUACCUGCUUGGAUUAGGAAGGAUUAAGAGCAGAAUCGACAACUUCUAUGUGGUUGUGGACAAACAUCUCAUCCCCUGUGCUGGAACCAGCUCCUUGAGUGCUAUAGAUGAACUCUUCUAAGUCCACUACGUUUUCAAACUGUCAUACGAGGAAGCCCUUGUCAACAGACUACAAUCUACAACAUCGAUGUUGGACUUUCUAGUGAGUCUCCCCGAGAAAAGGAGUUACGUGCAAAGCUUUUAAACUAGGUUAAAUGUUGAGGUGUUUUUGUGGUCAAAGUUUGCAUUCAAGUAGCCACACUUUGAUAUCUCACUUGAGAGUCACGCACAGUUUUUAUCCUUCUUUAAAGUUUAAGCUGUUAUGUGCACAAGAAAUGCUACAAAAUCCUGCACAGUCAGUCUUAAAUUAGAUGGGACAGAAUAUAGACAAGACCUGAUUGUGUGUAAUGAAAUUGAGAAUGAAAUCCAUAUUUUCAGUCAGAUUCAGAGAAUACUUUUAAUCAAUGACACUGUGUAUUUUAUUGUUAACAAACUUGUAACGGAGCAUUUCUCGGAGCAUCGCCAUGCAUUUAAAGUUCAGAGGUACUGUGGGUUGAAUGAACUUGUCAAAGCCAGCAAUUUGAAGUUCUUCAGGCCUUUUGAUCUACAGAGUCCAUAUGGGUCAGAUGGUGAAUAUGUUGUUCCCUCAUGUAUGUUAGUUUGAGAUGUUAGUUUGAGCUAAAAUAUACAUUUCAAACUGAUACAUUGUGUUGGCUGUAUGUAUGUUAGUUUGAGAUGUUAGUUUGAGCUAAAAUAUAAAUUUCAAACUGAUACAUUGUGUUGGCUGUUCUUUAAUUUAAUGUAUUUAGUUGAA